GACGAACGCUGGCGGCGUGCUUAACACAUGCAAGUCGAGCGGAGCGGCGAACGGGUGAGUAACGCGUGAGUAACUGCCCCCCUCUCUGGGAUAACAGUUGGAAACGGCUGCUAAUACCGGAUAGGGUGGGAUGACUCGCGUCCUAUCAGAUUGUUGGUGGGGUAGUGGCCUACCAAGGCGACGACGGGUAGCCGGCCUGAGAGGGCGACCGGCCACCUUGCGCUGCGUUACGGCCCAAUCUCCUACGGUAGGCAGCAGUGGGGAAUAUUGCCCAAUGGGGCAACCCCUGUUGCAGCAACGCCGCGUGCGGGAUGACCGCCUUCGGGUUGUAAACCGCUUUCAGCCAUGACGCGGUAGUGGCAGAAGAAGCACCGGCUAACUACGUGCCAGCAGCCGCGGUAAUUC
rnacentral:rRNA from 1 species